ACGAACGCUGGCGGCGUGCUUAACACAUGCAAGUCGAACGGAAAGGCCCUUCGGGGUACUCGAGUGGCGAACGGGUGAGUAACACGUGGGUGAUCUGCCCUGCACUUUGGGAUAAGCCUGGGAAACUGGGUCUAAUACCGAAUAGGACCACGCGCUUCAUGGUGUGUGGUGGAAAGCUUUCGCGGUGUGGGAUGGGCCCGCGGCCUAUCAGCUUGUUGGUGGGGUAAUGGCCUACCAAGGCGACGACGGGUAGCCGGCCUGAGAGGGUGACCGGCCACACUGGGACUGAGAUACGGCCCAGACUCCUACGGGAGGCAGCAGUGGGGAAUAUUGCACAAUGGGCGCAAGCCUGAUGCAGCGACGCCGCGUGAGGGAUGACGGCCUUCGGGUUGUAAACCUCUUUCAAUAGGGACGAAGCGCAAGUGACGGUACCUAUAGAAGAAGCACCGGCCAACUACGUG
rnacentral:rRNA from 1 species